GGCGCACGGGUGCGUAACGCGUAUGCAACCUACCUUUUACUGGGAGAUAGCCCGGAGAAAUCUGGAUUAAUACCCCAUAGUACCAGAUUGUCGAAUGACGAUUUGGUUAAAGAUUUAUCGGUAAGAGAUGGGCAUGCGUCUGAUUAGCUAGUUGGCGGGGUAACGGCCCACCAAGGCGACGAUCAGUAGGGGUUCUGAGAGGAAGGUCCCCCACACUGGCACUGAGAUACGGGCCAGACUCCUACGGGAGGCAGCAGUAGGGAAUAUUGGGCAAUGGUCGCAAGACUGACCCAGCCAUGCCGCGUGCAGGAAGACGGCCCUUGGGUUGUAAACUGCUUUUAUCUGGGAAGAAAAAGUCCAUGCGUGGAAAAUUGCCGGUACCAGAUGAAUAAGCACCGGCUAACUCCGUGCCAGCAGCCGCGGUAAUACGGAGGGUGCAAGCGUUGUCCGGAUUUAUUGGGUUUAAAGGGUGCGUAGGCGGCUGAAUAAGUCAGCGGUGAAAGACUUCGGCUUAACCGGAGCAGUGCCGUUGAUACUGUUUAGCUUGAGUGUUGGAGGGGUACAUGGAAUUGAUGGUGUAGCGGUGAAAUGCAUAGAUACCAUCAGGAACACCGAUAGCGAAGGCAUUGUACUGGCCAACAACUGACGCUGAGGCACGAAAGUGUGGGGAUCGAACAGGAUUAGAUACCCUGGUAGUCCACACCGUAAACGAUGAUUACUCGCUGUUAUGGUGUAUGCUGUAGCGGCCAAGCGAAAGCGUUAAGUAAUCCACCUGGGGAGUACGCCGGCAACGGUGAAACUCAAAGGAAUUGACGGGGGUCCGCACAAG
rnacentral:rRNA from 1 species